GAUGAAGAACGUAGCGAAAUGUGAUACGUAAUGUGAAUUGCAGAAUUCAGUGAAUCAUCGAAUCUUUGAACGCACAUUGCGCCUGCCAGCACUCUGGCAGGCAUGCCUGUUCGAGCGUCAUUUCAACCAUCAAGCCCUAGGCUUGCGUUGGAGCCCUGCGGCUGCCGCAGGCCCCUAAAAGCAGUGGCGGGCUCGCUAUCACACCGAGUGCAGUAGAUUACUCUUCGCUCAGGGCGUGUGGCGGGUUCCAGCCGUGAAACCCCCUACUUCUCAAGGUUGACCUCGGAUCAGGUAGGAAUACCCGCUGAACUUAAGCAUAUCAAUAAGCGGAGGA
rnacentral:misc_RNA from 1 species